rnacentral:rRNA from 1 species
AACGAACGCUGGCGGCAUGCCUAACACAUGCAAGUCGAACGAGACCUUCGGGUCUAGUGGCGCACGGGUGCGUAACGCGUGGGAAUCUGCCCUUGGGUUCGGAAUAACAGUUAGAAAUGACUGCUAAUACCGGAUAAUGUCUUCGGACCAAAGAUUUAUCGCCCAGGGAUGAGCCCGCGUAGGAUUAGCUAGUUGGUGAGGUAAAGGCUCACCAAGGCGACGAUCCUUAGCUGGUCUGAGAGGAUGAUCAGCCACACUGGGACUGAGACACGGCCCAGACUCCUACGGGAGGCAGCAGUGGGGAAUAUUGGACAAUGGGCGAAAGCCUGAUCCAGCAAUGCCGCGUGAGUGAUGAAGGCCUUAGGUUGGUAAAGACUCUUUUACCCGGGAUGAUAAUGACAGUACCGGGAGAAUAAGCCCCGGCUAACUCCGUGCCAGCAGCCGCGGUAA